UACAGAGGGUGCAAGCGUUGUUCGGAAUUAUUGGGCGUAAAGCGCGUGUAGGCGGCUUGUUAAGUCGGGUGUGAAAGCCCUCAGCUCAACUGAGGAAGUGCGCCCGAAACUGGCGAGCUUGAGUGUCGGAGGGGAUGGCGGAAUACCCCAAGUAGAGGUGAAAUUCGUAGAUAUGGGGUGGAACACCGGUGGCGAAGGCGGCCAUCUGGACGACAACUGACGCUGAGACGCGAAAGCGUGGGGAGCAAACAGG
rnacentral:rRNA from 1 species